CCCUGUUCCCCAUCCUUCCACCCAUGCAUUCAUCCGUGCGGUGGUGGGGAUGAGUGGAUGGAUGGAGGCGAGGGACGCGG
rnacentral:precursor_RNA from 1 species